AUACGGAGGAUCCGAGCGUUAUCCGGAUUUAUUGGGUUUAAAGGGAGCGUAGGCGGACGCUUAAGUCAGUUGUGAAAGUUUGCGGCUCAACCGUAAAAUUGCAGUUGAUACUGGGUGUCUUGAGUACAGUAGAGGCAGGCGGAAUUCGUGGGGUAGCGGUGAAAUGCUUAGAUAUCACGAAGAACUCCGAUUGCGAAGGCAGCCUGCUGGACUGUAACUGACGCUGAUGCUCGAAAGUGUGGGUAUCAAACAGGAUUAGAUACCCUGGUAGUCCACACAGUAAACGAUGAAUACUCGCUGUUUGCGAUAUACAGUAAGCGGCCAAGCGAAAGCGUUAAGUAUUCCACCUGGGGAGUACGCCGGCAACGGUGAAACUCAAAUGAAUUGACGGGG
rnacentral:rRNA from 1 species